rnacentral:rRNA from 1 species
UACGGGGGGAGCAAACGUUGUUCGGAAUCACUGGGCGUAAAGGGCGUGUAGGCGGCUGAAUGAGUGGGAUGUUAAAUCCCCCGGCUCAACCGGGGAACGGCUGGGCAUACUGGCGGUCUUGAGCCACCUAGGGGCGAGCGGAACAAGCGGUGGAGCGGUGAAAUGCGUAGAUAUCGCUUGGAACGCCGACGGUGAAAACAGCUCGCUGGGGGUGUGCUGACGCUGAGACACGAAAGCCAGGGGAGCGAACGGG